rnacentral:misc_RNA from 1 species
GAUGAAGAACGCAGUGAAAUGCGAUACCUGGUGUGAAUUGCAGAAUCCCGCGAACCAUCGAGUCUUUGAACGCAAGUUGCGCCCGAGGCCACCCGGCCGAGGGCACGCCUGCCUGGGCGUCACGCCAAAACACGCUCCCACCCCCCCUCACCGGGGGAGCGGGACGCGGCGUCUGGCCCCCCGUGCCGCGAGGCGCGGUGGGCCGAAGAUCGGGCUGCCGGCGUACCGUGCCGGGCACAGCGCGUGGUGGAUCUCUACUCGGCGCAGUGCACCCGGCGCGUAGCCGGCGCAGCGGCCCCUAAGGACCCAACGAACGGAGCGCGAGCCGCUCCGACCGCGACCCCAGGUCAGGCGGGACUACCCGCUGAGUUUAAGCAUAUCAAUAAGCGGAGGA